GACGAACGCUGGCGGCGUGCUUAACACAUGCAAGUCGAACGGAAAGGCCCUGCUUUUGUGGGGUGCUCGAGUGGCUAACGGGUGAGUAACACGUGAGUAACCUGCCCUUGACUUUGGGAUAACUUCAGGAAACUGGGGCUAAUACCGGAUAGGAGCUCCUGCUGCAUGGUGGGGGUUGGAAAGUUUCGGCGGUUGGGGAUGGACUCGCGGCUUAUCAGCUUGUUGGUGGGGUAGUGGCUUACCAAGGCUUUGACGGGUAGCCGGCCUGAGAGGGUGACCGGCCACAUUGGGAAUGAGAUACGGCCGAGACUCCUACGGGAGGCAGCAGUGGGGAAUAUUGCAAAAUGGGCGGAAGCCUGAUGCAGCAACGCCGCGUGCGGGAUGACGGCCUUCGGGUUGUAAACCGCUUUCGCCUGUGACGAAGCGUGAGUGACGGUAAUGGGUAAAGAAGCACCGGCUAACUACGUG
rnacentral:rRNA from 1 species